rnacentral:lncRNA from 1 species
GUGGAUGGUGUACUCAUAUCUUACCUCAUUUAACUGAUUAACUGUAGCCUAUGAUCUGAAUAUACCACUUGUCUUAAAGAAAGCAAUACAUCAUUCAGUUAAAACGUCCUCUUGUGACCACUCAUUUUACAUUUGAGUCAUUUAGCAGAUGCUUUUAUCCAGAGCGAUUUACAGUUAGUGCAUUCAUCUGAAGAUAACCACAUCACAGUCGUAAUCCCCAGCUACAAUAAAUGCAGCCUCAGGAUAUAUGGUUUCCAGUUUACGUAGAGUCCAGUGAAGUCGUGGGAUCUGCUUAAAGGGGAUAUACACGGCUGUGACGAUAACCGAGAGAUUUGGAUUUCUGUUAGCACGAUGCAUGAAGAAACCAGGUGGCUGUACCGUCUCCGACAACAUAUCCCGAGAGAGCCAUGUUUCCAUGAAACAGAGAAUGUUACAAUCUCUGAUGUCUCUCUGGAACGCAA